rnacentral:rRNA from 1 species
UACGUAGGGUGCGAGCGUUAAUCGGAAUUACUGGGCGUAAAGCGUGCGCAGGCGGUUUUGUAAGACAGGCGUGAAAUCCCCGGGCUCAACCUGGGAAUGGCACUUGUGACUGCAAGACUAGAGUACGGCAGAGGGGGGUAGAAUUCCACGUGUAGCAGUGAAAUGCGUAGAUAUGUGGAGGAAGACCGAUGGCGAAGGCAGCCCCCUGGGUCGAUACUGACGCUCAUGCACGAAAGCGUGGGGAGCAAACAGG